rnacentral:piRNA from 1 species
UGCAGGAGCCUGCAGCGUGGGAUUGAGC